AUGGGUCUACCAUUGGCACUUCGCCAGUUCUUGAUCACAGCGCAUGACACCACUGUUGGCCACCCGCACUGCCAACGGGUGCUUGGCCUUGACCACACCUUGCAGCCGAGCGGCGAGGGAUUCGCCGAUGAAGCUGUGGGAGGAGCCCGAGUCGACGAGCAUCAACACCUCCUGGCCUUGGACCCAGCCGUGGAGACGCAUGGUGGUGUUGGAUUCCCCUCCGUCGAGAGCCUCCUUGGAAAGGACGCAGCAAUCUGCCCCUUGCUCGCUUGCCGCCUCGUCUUGGUUCAGGUCGUUGGAGUCACUUGGCUCGCUGUGCAUCAUUGCCAGUAG
rnacentral:rRNA from 1 species